rnacentral:rRNA from 1 species
AUGGGGAAACCCAGUGCAAUUCGUUGCACUAUCGUUAACUGAAUACAUAAGUUAACGAGGCGAACCGGGGGAACUGAAACAUCUAAGUACCCCGAGGAAAAGAAAUCAACCGAGAUUCCCCCAGUAGCGGCGAGCGAACGGGGAGCAGCCCAGAGUCUGAAUCAGCUUGUGUGUUAGUGGAACGGUCUGGAAAGUCCGACGGUACAGGGUGAUAGUCCCGUACACCAAAAUGCACAGGCUGUGAACUCGAAGAGUAGGGCGGGACACGUGGUAUCCUGUCUGAAUAUGGGGGGACCAUCCUCCAAGGCUAAAUACUCCUGACUGACCGAUAGUGAACCAGUACCGUGAGGGAAAGGCGAAAAGAACCCCGGCGAGGGGAGUGAAAAAGAACCUGAAACCGUGUACGUACAAGCAGUGGGAGCACCUUCGGGUGUGACUGCGUACCUUUUGUAUAAUGGGUCAGCGACUUAUAUUCUGUAGCAAGGUUAACCGUAUAGGGGAGCCGCAGGGAAACCGAGUCUUAACUGGGCGUUAAGUUGCAGGGUAUAGACCCGAAACCCGGUGAUCUAGCCAUGGGCAGGUUGAAGGUUGGGUAACACUAACUGGAGGACCGAACCGACUAAUGUUGAAAAAUUAGCGGAUGACUUGUGGCUGGGGGUGAAAGGCCAAUCAAACCGGGAGAUAGCUGGUUCUCCCCGAAAGCUAUUUAGGUAGCGCCUCGUGAACUCAUCUUCGGGGGUAGAGCACUGUUUCGGCUAGGGGGUCAUCCCGACUUA